UGGACUUGGUGGGUCUUUGAAUUUAAAUAAAAUAAACAUGUAUAUGCAACACAAAAUAUUUAUAUUCCUUGUGUAAACAUAAUUUAAUUGAUUAUGAUGAAAAUGUUUUGUUUGAAUGUAAAAUGAACACAUUAUUCUCACAUUGAUUAAAAUUGAUUGAAUUGAAUACUUAAAGCAAUAAAAUUGAGUUUGCACACAAAAUGGCACCUCCUAAACAGAAGGUGGCAGUAACGCUCAAUAAAAAGGACGUCAAUCGCCAUAAAGGAAGAAUAAACAUCGUUUGUUUUGGGCGCCAAAAUGAAGACUCAGCAGCAGCAGUCAGUCAGAAGAACUCUCUCAGACGGACACCACGUUAUUAAAGUCCAUCAUCCUUGCACACACUCAAAAGCAUUGAUAAAUGCUGAAUUUAAAAGAAUCACUACUGUCUUAUGUUCCUGCGUGUCACCUGGACCUCCAAUCCAAAAACCUGACGAAACUCUUCUAUCAGAAAGGAGGACAGCUAGCAAAAAGACUUCAAACAAUGAAUGAUCAAAUGACAGAAGGCAUGGAUGAAGUCAGCAUCAGCGAGGUCAUUUGAAGACACCACUGUUGGGAUUUGUGCUCUCAAACAACAUGCUUCUUGUGAUGAAGAAGAGGAUCUUUGUAUAGUCCUGGAAGGCAUGAAGGUGUUGCAACAUCGUGCCAUGUUGUUUGAGCUGAUGUAUGCCUUAAACCUGAGCUAUCCUGAUCUCUGCUUUAUUUUUGAGGAAAUCCAAAAGAUUUUAAUGGAACUGCAUUGAGCGUAACUUUAACGAACAGUUUCUUUCAGUGAAAGGAUCAGAAAGACUGUGCUGCUCAUUUAUGUUCUUUUUAUUUAUCAGUUUUAAGUGUUUUUUCUUAUUAAAACAUUAACAGU